GACGAACGCUGGCGGCGUGCUUAACACAUGCAAGUCGAGCGGUAAGGCCCUUUCGGGGGUACACGAGCGGCGAACGGGUGAGUAACACGUGGGUGACCUGCCUUUAGCUCUGGGAUAAGCCUGGGAAACGUAGGGUCUAAUACCGGAUAUGACUCCGCGGUGCAUGCUGUGGGGUGGAAAGCCUUGUGCGGCUGGAGAUGGGCCCGCGGCCUAUCAGCUUGUUGGUGGGGUGAUGGCCUACCAAGGCGACGACGGGUAGCCGGCCUGAGAGGGCGACCGGCCACACUGGGACUGAGACACGGCCCAGACUCCUACGGGAGGCAGCAGGUGGGGAAUCUUGCGCAAUGGGCGAAAGCCUGACGCAGCGACGCCGCGUGAGGGAUGACGGCCUUCGGUU
rnacentral:rRNA from 1 species